rnacentral:rRNA from 1 species
GAUGAACGCUGGCGGCGUGCCUAAUACAUGCCAGUCGAGCGAACAGACGAGGAGCUUGCUCCUCUGACGUUAGCGGCGGACGGGUGAGUAACACGUGGAUAACCUACCUAUAAGACUGGGAUAACUUCGGGAAACCGGAGCUAAUACCGGAUAAUAUAUUGAACCGCAUGGUUCAAUAGUGAAAGACGGUUUUGCUGUCACUUAUAGAUGGAUCCGCGCCGCAUUAGCUAGUUGGUAAGGUAACGGCUUACCAAGGCAACGAUGCGUAGCCGACCUGAGAGGGUGUUCGGCCACACUGGAACUGAAACACGGUCCAGACUCCGACGGGAGGCAGCAGUAGGGAAUCUUCCGCAAUGGGCGAAAGCCUGACGGAGCAACGCCGCGUGAGUGAUGAAGGUCUUCGGAUCGUAAAACUCUGUUAUUAGGGAAGAACAAAUGUGUAAGUAACUAUGCACGUCUUGACGGUACCUAAUCAGAAAGCCACGGCUAACUACGUG